GGAACUGUGCCCGAAUGCUCAGGGACCACUUUGAUAGAGUGGCUCAUAGGGGUUAAAAUCCCCUCGGUUCUU
rnacentral:tRNA from 1 species